rnacentral:rRNA from 1 species
GACGAACGCUGGCGGCGUGCCUAAUACAUGCAAGUAGAACGCUGAAGGAGGAGCUUGCUUCUCUGGAUGAGUUGCGAACGGGUGAGUAACGCGUAGGUAACCUGCCUGGUAGCGGGGGAUAACUAUUGGAAACGAUAGCUAAUACCGCAUAAUAGUAGAUGUUGCAUGACAUUUGCUUAAAAGGUGCAAUUGCAUCACUACCAGAUGGACCCGCGUUGUAUUAGCUAGUUGGUGGGGUAACGGCUCACCAAGGUGACGAUACAUAGCCGACCUGAGAGGGGGAUCGGCCACACUGGGACUGAGACACGGCCCAGACUCCUACGGGAGGCAGCAGUAGGGAAUCUUCGGCAAUGGACGGAAGUCUGACCGAGCAACGCCGCGUGAGUGAAGAAGGUUUUCGGAUCGUAAAGCUCUGUUGUAAGAGAAGAACGAGUGUGAGAGUGGAAAGUUCACACUGUGACGGUAUCUUACCAGAAAGGGACGGCUAACUACGUG